CCAGCAACAGUUUUGGUGUUCAGAGGCUGUGUCUGAGGUGAGGGAAGAGCUGGGGAGCAAGCAACAGAAGAUAUCACAGCAUCAUACCCUAAUAUCCUGGUGGAAAAGGCCCAUUGUUCCAUCUGCAAAUGGUGGGGUUGGAUAGAUUUAAUCUUAGACUAUGAAGAACUAAAAGGUAGCACUGUCAAAAAAGUAUUACCAUGUUUUCCAUGAACCUGUUACUCAACAGAGACCCAGAGGAGCCACCCCUCCAGAAACUAUAUGGCCAAACAAGGAAAUGCUGAGUUAAAUCCUGACUGGGGUCUUUCACCCCUACUGUGUAUCUGACAUUUCCAUCAAGAAACCGGCUUGAGUGACAAGUGAUUUAAUGUUUUGUAAUGAUAGGCUAAUUUCUCAAAAAUUAUACUGAGGGCAAGGGUUCUAUGUAACAGGGCUGUGUGAAUGAAAAUGCCACAAUGGUGAUAUCACAUCCAGGUCACUAAGAUUACCACCUACAGACCUCCCAAAGGUGGAGACUAAAGAAUGAACUUCAUAGAUCUUGCUAUGAGUUCAUGUUACAGA